GGAAAAGCGCUCUGAUUGGCUGUCUGUCACCCUUUGAUCACCAGGGUUAGCUUGUCUGAUCACAGUGGCUAGGUAACACCUCUUUCCCUCUUUCCUCCACGUGUCUCCUGAAGCUGGCUGAAGAGUGUAGUCUUUCCUAGUGGAAGAGAUCGUUCCUUGGUCAAGGGUCUUUGUGCAGCUCACCCGCCUGCUAGGACCUCCAAACUCUCAAAGAAAGUCUUUAGGGACUAGAAGAACUCUAUUUUGGGAGUCUUUUCCUCCUGAAGUAUGGGUGUUCACUAGCUGUUCCCA
rnacentral:snRNA from 1 species